UACAGAGGGUGCUAGCGUUGUUCGGAAUCAUUGGGCGUAAAGGGCGUGUAGGCGGUUUGUUAAGUCAUGUGUGAAAUCCCUCGGCUCAACCGGGGAACGACGCAUGAAACUGGCAAGCUAGAGUACCAAAGAGGGGGGUGGAAUUCCCGGUGUAGCGGUGAAAUGCGCAGAUAUCGGGAGGAACACCGGUGGCGAAGGCGGUUCUCUGGGCCUGUACUGACGCUGAGGAGCGAAAGCGUGGGGAGCGAACAGG
rnacentral:rRNA from 1 species